CCGAUGAAGGACGUUACUAACGACGAUAUGCUUUGGGGAGCUGUAAGUAAGCUUUGAUCCAGAGAUUUCCGAAUGGGGAAACCCAGCAUGAGUUAUGUCAUGUUAUCGAUAUGUGAAUACAUAGCAUAUCAGAAGGCACACCCGGAGAACUGAAACAUCUUAGUACCCGGAGGAAGAGAAAGAAAAUUCGAUUCCCUUAGUAGCGGCGAGCGAAACGGGAAGAGCCCAAACCAACAAGCUUGCUUGUUGGGGUUGUAGGACACUCUAUACGGAGUUACAAAGGACGACAUUAGACGAAUCAUCUGGAAAGAUGAAUCAAAGAAGGUAAUAAUCCUGUAGUCGAAAAUGUUGUCUCUCUUGAGUGGAUCCUGAGUACGACGGAGCACGUGAAAUUCCGUCGGAAUCUGGGAGGACCAUCUCCUAAGGCUAAAUACUCUCUAGUGACCGAUAGUGAACCAGUACCGUGAGGGAAAGGUGAAAAGCACCCCGGAAGGGGAGUGAAAUAGAACCUGAAACCGUGUGCUUACAAGUAGUCAGAGCCCGUUAAUGGGUGAUGGCGUGCCUUUUGUAGAAUGAACCGGCGAGUUACGAUUUGAUGCAAGGUUAAGCAGUAAAUGUGGAGCCGUAGCGAAAGCGAGUCUGAAUAGGGCGUUUAGUAUUUGGUCGUAGACCCGAAACCAGGUGA
rnacentral:rRNA from 1 species